ACAACAGUGACAACAGAAAUCACAGAGGAGUUUCGUAACAGUCUGCCUGCUUCUCCUGUAAUUGUUGCACUGGGCCGCUCACUUUUCGAAUGCAGCUGCCAGCUGUUUGUGGACCGUGAGGUGAUGGUGGAAGAUGUGGGCUUUCUGCAAGCUGUGGAGCUCCUUUUCGCCCUUUAUUAUUGUUUAAACAUCCAGUAUGCCAAAGGUGCGGGAACCACACUUGAGUUCAUUCAGAGAUACCAAGUUGGUAUCAAACAACAUGAUGGGUCACGACAGGAGGCCGGGAG